rnacentral:rRNA from 1 species
AACGAACGCUGGCGGCAUGCCUAACACAUGCAAGUCGAACGAGACCUUCGGGUCUAUUGGCGCACGGGUGCGUAACGCGUGGGAACCUGCCCUUAGGUUCGGCAUAACUCAGAGAAAGUUAAGCCAAUACCGGAUGAUGUCUUCGGACCAAAGAUUUAUCGCCUUUAGAUGGGCCCGCGUUGGAUUAGCUUGUUGGUGGGGUAAUGGACUACCAAGGCGACGAUCCAUAGCUGGUCUGAGAGGAUGGUCAGCCACACUGGGACUGAGACACGGCCCAGACUCCUCCGGGAGGCAGCAGUGGGUAAUAUUGGACAAUGGCCGGAGGCCUGAUCCAGCAAUGACGCGUGAGUGAUGUAGGCCUUAGGGUUGUAAAGCGCUUUUACCCGAGCUGAUAAUGACGGUACCGGGAGAAUAAGCCCCGGCUAACUCCGUG